UACCAGCUCUCCGAGUGGUAGGGAUGAUUAUUGGGCUUAAAGCGUCCGUAGCCGGCUUAGCAAGUUUCCUGUUAAAUUCAGCGACCUAAUCGUUGAGCCGCGGGAAAUACUACUAGGCUAGGAGGCGGGAGAGGUCGACGGUACUUCUGGGGUAGGGGUGAAAUCCUAUAAUCCCGGGAGGACCACCAGUGGCGAAGGCUGUCGACUAGAACGCGCUCGACGGUGAGGGACGAAAGCUGGGGGAGCGAACCGGAUUAGAUACCCGGGUAGUCCCAGCUGUAAACGAUGCGGGCUAGGUGUUGGGGUGGCUACGUGCCACUUCAAUGCCGCAGGGAAGCCAUUAAGCCCGCCGCCUGGGGAGUACGGCCGCAAGGCUGAAACUUAAAGGAAUUGGCGGGGGAGCACCACAAGGCGUGAAGCUUGCGGUUC
rnacentral:rRNA from 1 species